AAGGCUUUAGCUUAAUUAAAGUACCUGUUUUGCAUACAGGAGCUGUAGGAUAAUACCCCGCAAGCCUUA
rnacentral:tRNA from 1 species